rnacentral:rRNA from 2 species
CGCAUGACUCUUGGCAACGGAUAUCUAGGCUCUCGCGUCGAUGAAGAACGUAGCAAAAUGCGAUACUUGGUGUGAAUUGCAGAAUCCCGUGAACCAUCGAGUCUUUGAACGCAAGUUGCGCCUAAGACCGUCAGGUCAAGGGCACGUCUGCUUGGGCGUCGCGC